GAGUAACACGUGGGCAAUCUGCCCUUCACUCUGGGACAAGCCCUGGAAACGGGGUCUAAUACCGGAUAACACCUGCCUGGGCAUCUGGGUGGGUUAAAAGCUCCGGCGGUGAAGGAUGAGCCCGCGGCCUAUCAGCUUGUUGGUGAGGUAGUGGCUCACCAAGGCGACGACGGGUAGCCGGCCUGAGAGGGCGACCGGCCACACUGGGACUGAGACACGGCCCAGACUCCUACGGGAGGCAGCAGUGGGGAAUAUUGCACAAUGGGCGAAAGCCUGAUGCAGCGACGCCGCGUGAGGGAUGACGGCCUUCGGGUUGUAAACCUCUUUCAGCAGGGAAGAAGCGAAAGUGACGGUACCUGCAGAAGAAGCGCCGGCUAACUACGUGCCAGCAGCCGCGGUAAUACGUAGGGCGCAAGCGUUGUCCGGAAUUAUUGGGCGUAAAGAGCUCGUAGGCGGCUUGUCACGUCGGGUGUG
rnacentral:rRNA from 1 species